rnacentral:rRNA from 1 species
GAUGAACGCUGGCGGCGUGCCUAAUACAUGCAAGUCGAGCGAACAGACGAGGAGCUUGCUCCUCUGACGUUAGCGGCGGACGGGUGAGUAACACGUGGAUAACCUACCUAUAAGACUGGGAUAACUUCGGGAAACCGGAGCUAAUACCGGAUAAUAUAUUGAACCGCAUGGUUCAAUAGUUAAAGACGGUUUUGCUGUCACUUAUAGAUGGAUCCGCGCCGCAUUAGCUAGUCGGUAAGGUAACGGCUUACCAAGGCAACGAUGCGUAGCCGACCCGAGAGGGUGAUCGGCCACACUGGAACUGAGACACGGCCCAGACUCCUACGGGAGGAAGCAGUAGGGAAUCUUCCGCAAUGGGCGAAAGCCUGACGGAGCAACGCCGCGUGAGUGAUGAAGGUCUUAGGAUCGUAAAACUCUGUUAUUAGGGAAGAACAAAUGUGUAAGUAACUAUGCACGUCUUGACGGUACCUAAUCAGAAAGCCACGGCUAACUACGUG